GACGAACGCUGGCGGCGUGCUUAACACAUGCAAGUCGAACGGAAAGGCUCCAGCUUGCUGGAGUACUCGAGUGGCGAACGGGUGAGUAACACGUGGGUAAUCUGCCCUGCACUCUGGGAUAAGCCUGGGAAACUGGGUCUAAUACUGGAUAUGACCUUUCUCCUGAUGGGGUUUGGUGGAAAGUUUUUCGGUGUAGGAUGAGCCCGCGGCCUAUCAGCUUGUUGGUGGGGUGAUGGCCUACCAAGGCGACGACGGGUAGCCGGCCUGAGAGGGUGAUCGGCCACAUUGGGACUGAGAUACGGCCCAGACUCCUACGGGAGGCAGCAGUGGGGAAUAUUGCACAAUGGGCGGAAGCCUGAUGCAGCGACGCCGCGUGAGGGAUGACGGCCUUCGGGUUGUAAACCUCUUUCAGCAGGGACGAAGCGUAAGUGACGGUACCUGCAGAAGAAGCACCGGCUAACUAUGUG
rnacentral:rRNA from 1 species